GCACGAAGCAGAUGACCUCCCCACCCUGCACAAGGUUGGUACAGCGGGCAUCGCAGUGCAGGUGGUGGGCAGUAACUGGCCAAAGCCACACUACACCCUCCUCAUCACUGGACUGUGUCGCUUCAGUGUGACGAGUCUGUUGAAGGAACGACCCUUCGUACUCGCAGAGGUGGAGCAGUUGGAUAAACUGGAGCAGUACACAUCACCAUCAGACAGUGUCCCACAGAAGAUGGAGAACUAGGGGAACUUUCUCAGAAGUUUUAUCAGGCUGCGCUACAGUUGUUGGGUAUGUUGGACAUGUCUGUUCCAGUUGUGGCCAAGUUCCGCCGUCUUCUGGACAGCCUGCCCAGGGAAACGCUUCCAGAUGUGGUGGCGUCCAUGAUCCGCACCUCCAACAAGGAGAAACUGCAGGUCUUAGAUGCUGUG